UACAGAGGUCCCGAGCGUUGUUCGGAUUCACUGGGCGUAAAGGGUGCGUAGGUGGCAUGUUAAGUUUGAUGUGAAAGCUCAGGGCUUAACCCUGAAAAUGGCAUUGAAUACUAGCGUGCUGGAGGUUUGGAGGGGGGACUGGAAUUCUCGGUGUAGCAGUGAAAUGCGUAGAUAUCGAGAGGAACACCAGUGGCGAAGGCGAGUCCCUGGACAACACCUGACACUGAGGCACGAAAGCCGGGGAGCAAACAGG
rnacentral:rRNA from 1 species